ensembl:lincRNA Gm12580 predicted gene 12580
CCAUUUGUUCUAUGGAUUGAGCUCAAGUUGACAGGUUUUGAGCUCCCCAAAAACCUUCAACCUAAAGCAUGUAUCAAGAUGGCAUCCAGGUCAGGAGAAUGUCUGCAAAUGGGGAUCUAAUGAAUGCUAUAUAGUCCUUUGCUUUGAGAAUUUGGAGUUAUAGACCCUCAGAUUAUGGAUGCAAACAAGAGACUCCAUAUAUAUCUUCAGGUAUAAUUUUUUUUACACAAGUUGCUUAAUGACCAGGCAGUGAUGGUGUACACCUGUAGUUCCUUGGAAGCUGAUGUAGAUAAACCUCUCCAGUAUGAGGAUUUGUGUCCAACUGAGCAGCAAAGCAAGACUGUCUCAGAAGAAAAAGAGCCACGCAAACGUAAAUGCGGGUUGCAUCCCUAAAAUAGUGACAGUCACGAGGCUGAGGCAUGAUGAUUGUAAGUUGGAGACCAGCCUGGGCUACAGAGUGAGAACUGGUUUCAACAACAACAACAACAACAACAACAGCAACAGCAACAACAACAACAACAAUGACAACAGAAGAAAAAUUCACUCUAGAAAAAACAGUCUAAAAACUAAAACAACCAAAACCUCUAAAAUAAUAUCAACAAACCCAAAUAAAGCAGGGCAGCAAAAAUAGCUGAGAAGAAAGCACCUCUUGAGACCACAACAAUCGCUGGUAACAUUUUAUAAUGAUGUCUCGCCCUGCAUGUUCAUGAAUACACCACAUGCUCAUCCCACCUGUAUUAUUCAUACUGUUUUUGUUGUUGUUGUUGAUGUUUUGUUUUGCUUUUGUCUUGUGAGCCAGUUGUAAAAUUUGUUCGUAGGUUGCUCCUUAGAAAUCAUUAUUUCUCUAGAGGUGACAGGGUGGAAUGCCUUCAUUUUCCUAUUCCUUGGUUGUUUUCAUUUUUGUUAGUGUAAGUAAUGGUGGUGGUCACUGUAUCACACACAUGUCUUCUUUGUGUCUUGAUGCUUAUGGACAAGUAUGAAAAGAAGUGAUUACUAAUGCUUGUUAUUUACUGAGGACGAAUCAUGUCUCGGCUCAACAUAUGUAAAAAGAGAAGGUGAACAAAUAGGAAGAUGGUAGACUAUCCCACUGCUGUGCCCCAUCUGCUGGUUUUCAUUGUACCCUAAGAUCCAUGCCACAGAGCCCAUUUGUGGAGGUUACACUAGUGUUCUCUUGCAGAUCAAUAUUUUAAGUAGCUCAACUCUCUUAAUUACUUAAAAUAUUGUUAGCUGUUUUAUACUCCUGUGGAUCUUUUAUUCAUUGCUCCAAUUUUGUGUAGACUUUCAAACCUUUUGAACUGUGGGGACAGUUCAAUGCCUGCACUGUCUCUCCCUGUCACCGUUAGUACAUCCUGGCUUUGAAUUAGUGAACACUUAUUGGUUUUCAUUCCAGAGUUUGUUGAUGCAAAGUUUAAAAACUUUAAAAAUCACAUUUAAGCCAGGCAGUGGUGGUAUGAGCCUUUAAUCCUAGUAUUUGGGAGAAAGAAGAGAGCAGAGUUUUGAGUUCAAGGCCAGCCUGGUCUAUAAAAUAAUUUUCAGGACAGCUAGGGCUAUUAAACUGAAAAACCUUGUCUUGGGUGGGGAUCCAUUUUAAUACCUUUGUGCAUAAUUCUGAUUUUUAAAAAAUUACAUCUAUUUAUUUUGUGUAUGUGUUGG